GAUUAUAUUACACUCUAUCAUUAUAUAUUAUCUCAAACUUUACAAUAAUAUUCCAUUACGUUGUUUUGGGUUUUAUUGCAAUGUUAUGUUUUUUUAGGAAAAUGAAAGAAGCCAUUCACUAAUUUCAUGUACAGAGAAACCAAAAAGAAAACGACAAGAGCAUCCUUCAAAAACGUCUUCAACGAAUCCGCCUGAGUUCAUCGCAUUCAUACACACUCUGCAGACUCAAACUCAACAAGAAUCAAACACGGCUUCACCGAUUCAGAGCCUCUAUGCCAUAACUUCAGAUUGAAAUCGCUGGAAACACAACCAAAGCGCAUCCAAGCCCCUUCACCUCUUCCGAAUGCACAUCAUCAUCAUCGACACAACAAGGAUGACAGAACCCAUUUUUUAGUUGAUUUCAAAAACAACAAUUGCUCUUUUCUUUUGUGUUUAUGGCAGGUAACAGAAAAUUUGGGACAGGUGCAAGGAAUAAAUCAAAAUCAAAAACACCAGUGUUGCAGAUCCGAUAUCGAUCCGCCGCCAUCACGCGUGACUCCACCACCUUCUCCGACCGCACAACGACACAACCACCGCGCCGGAGUUUGAUCACCAACGAUCGUGCGAAAGCAUCACACCCACACAAACUUCCGACGCCGUGAACCACUCGCACCACCACCGCACCGGCAACAACACAACCCGCAACACCGACGCAUCUCCAAAAUCAACUCACAGCAACCCAACACAACUAGCACCAAUUCAGAACGUUUUCUGAUUCGGUUUCGUGAAUCACCAUUGCUAGGGUUCUUGAGCUCUGAUUUGGGGAUUGUUAAUUAGGGACAAAAUUAAACAAGAUUAAGGACAUUAUUUGACUCGGGAGGUUAUUCACGGUUGAUUGGGGUUAUUAUCAGUUAUUAAUUGAUGAUGAUUCGCAAGUUACUUAGGAGGAAGGCUGAGGCCGGUUGAAAGUUUCUGCGCUUCAGGAAAAAAAGUGGAGGAGACAAAGCUACAGUAUCGGCGCGCAGGUUUUAAAUUUACGAAGCAAUUUUGUUUAAUAUAUCAUGUUAUCGAUGCAUCUUUUAAACAGACGGAUUGCUUGGUUGGAAUGGUAAGUGGGGUGUUUUGAGGUAAGGGGCGUGGGUUCGAUCCCCACCUUCAACAUUAUUUUUAAUGAAAAUGCAGGUUACUUGAUCUAGUGCCAUGCGUCCUCAUUGGCUUAUGACGCACCUUCCGCUCUCACAACUGGAUGAGCAGUUCAUCAGAUCUAACGUCACCAAGGAAGAGGUUCAUCAUGCACCCUCAAAACCUCAACAUACAUGAUUACUACCAGCAUUGCUUGGUAACAAAUUAAGAAAGAGAAUCACACACUUGUCAGCCAACAUCUUAUCAAAGAUUUAUACGAAAUCAUACACAACACUAUAUGGGAAAAAUGAAAUUCAUCCAUCUCUUAUUCAUUGUGUUAGUGGUUCAGCACCGGAGGAAAAAUGAUGUGCUUCCCUGAAAUGAAUAAUCUUAUAGAAAAUGCAUAUAAUAGGAUGUGUAAUAAUCUGACAAGAUAUGAUUUAUCGGAAAUAUUUUUCCCACUUUGAAGUGGCUCACCUUGUAAUCCAAUCGGAUAUAUUAUAUUUAUUGGGUAACUUUCAAAAUCAUAACAUUCUGUUCAAGUUUUCUCAAACCGUGAGUGGACAUCUCAUUCCAUAAAAGAAGAUAAAAGUUGGAUGGAUAAUUUUUUUGAUAGGAAUGCGGAGUUUGCCAAGUUAAGAAAAAUGGAAAAAUGUAAAGCAUGGAAAUUCAAAGGUCGAACUAUUUAUAUAUAAAUUUAGGUGGUGACACAUAUUUUAAUGUAUUUUAGUUUUAUCUUACCAGGCAUUUUAGGUGGAGACAUUUUCUUUUUGUAUAUAAUGUUGGAUUGAUUUAUUCAACAAUGUGUUUCAGGUACUUUUUGAAGUGUUUUAAUGUAUAUAACAUUACUUGUUAAAAAUAAGGAAGUUUUGUGCGUAACAUUAUCUGUUUGUAAUAUUAACUUCUGUAAUGGAUGAAUCCAAAUUUUAAAAUACGGACACCCCAUAGUAUUUGUUAUGUUAUCCUUUCAUAAGAAAAAGGGUCAUUUGGUAAUUCAAUAUCCAUACAAACCCUUAAUUGUACCUAAUUUAUUCUGCAUUCAAACUCUAGAAUGACAGUUGAGACAAUAUAACUUUUGUAUGGUCCUUAUUUCUCUAAAACUUGUAUAGACAUGCCUUUGAUGUAGAUGUAACUAUCAAAAAAUACUAUAGAAUGUCUCAAUAUUGGUAUCUCGCAUUUGUUAACUUCAAAAAAUGUGAGUUUGGAUCUUAAAUUUAGGGUCACAGAGGGCACCUCUCUUGAAGUUCUGAAAUAGAAAAUGGAUAAUCUCUUGUACUACCCAAAAAAUCGAAGGAUGGUUAAGAUCGAGUAUCAUUCACCCUCGAUUGAUGAAAAAGGAAAGUUAAGGUUCGGCAACUUUCAGUUGAAGACGGGUGAAGAUUUAAGAGUUAUGUGGAGUAUAUUUCAUUGUUACGAAAGAAAUUGUCCAAUCAAAGUGGAUGCAAAUGUGGCGAGAUCGAUCAACGACAUCCAAAAGAUGUUGAAAUAUCCUCAACCAUCUCUAGAUCAUGAAGUGUGAUGUUAGAUUUUAUGUCAACAAAUAUUUAUGUAAUGCUACGUAAUCAUGUAUGUGAUAAUAAAUAUUUAUUUUAA